rnacentral:tRNA from 1 species
CCAUCGGUGGUUCACUGGUAGAAUGCUCGCCUACCAUGCGGGCGUCCCAGGUUCGAUUCCAGGUCGAUGCA